UACAGAGGGUGCAAGCGUUAAUCGGAAUUACUGGGCGUAAAGGGUGCGUAGGUGGUUAAUUAAGUUGUAUGUGAAAACCCUGGGCUUAACCUAGGAAUUGCAUAUAAAACUGAUUAGCUAGAGUGCGGUAGAGGGAAGUGGAAUUUCCGGUGUAGCGGUGAAAUGCGUAGAUAUCGGAAGGAACAUCAGUGGCGAAGGCGACUUCCUGGACCGUUACUGACACUGAGGCACGAAAGCGUGGGGAGCGAACAGG
rnacentral:rRNA from 1 species